UAAAUCAAGUACAAAAUGUAUAUAUUAUUUACAAUAAUAUGGUCUAUUUAAUUAGGAUUUAUAA
rnacentral:tRNA from 1 species